CCUCUGGCAGGAUGGUGAUGUCACAAAGUAGAGGGCAGAGGGGGUGGCCAUAGAUAUACCCUGGACUACCCUCACAGUGAACCUGCCCAUCACAAACAAGGGCUGCAGCAUGAAGGGGGCCAACCUCUGCCUUCCAGGUACCUGCACUACCUAUCAGAUGACAGCCUGGCUGCCAGUUAGCAUCCCUGCUGACUCCUGUGGCCUGCCCUUUCCAGAGACUAUGCUCCAGGAAAGGAGGCACAGGAGGUGAGCAUUCGGCCAGUACCCUAGCUUAACCUACGGUACUUAUCCCCUCCUCCAGCAGCCUUUCGAAGAUGCCACCUUGGAGGACAACAUCUUCUUCCCAGAAGGACUUGAGCAGCCCAGUGGCAUCCCCCAGGUGAAAGGGAAAUGAUGAAGAUGAGUUAUCCUGGAGGCCCAAACCUUCAAUGUGGUAGCUGGGCAUAAUCUGGGAAGGCUUCCUGCAAGUGUCCCUGGCAACUACCAUUCUACUUUCUGUUCUGUGAAUUUGACUGCUUUAGAUACCUCAGGUAAGUGGAAUCUUACAGAGGCGCCUGAGUGGCUCACUCGGUUAAGCUUCCAACUUUGGCUCAGGUCAUGGUCUCGGGGUCUGUGAGUUCCAGCCCCACGUUGGACUCUGUGCUGACAGCUCAGAGCCUGG